rnacentral:tRNA from 1 species
GUAGGGAUAGUGUAACUGGUAACAUUACGGUCUCCAAAACCGUCGAUCUGAGUUCAAAUCUCAGUCCCUUCGCCA